GAUCUCAAAUCAAGUAAGACUACCCGCUGAACUUAAGCAUAUCAAUAAGCGGAGGAAAAGAAACUAACAAGGAUCCCCUUAGUAACGGCGAGUGAAGCGGGGUGAGCUCAAAUUUAAAAUCUGGCUGGUUUACUAGUCCGAAUUGUAGUUUAAAGAAGCGUUUUCGGUGGCAGCCUGGGUAUAAAUCCUUUGGAAUAGGGUAUCAUAGAGGGUGAGAAUCCCGUCUUUGACUCAGUGCAUGCUACUAUGUGAUACGUUUUCAAAGAGUCGAGUUGUUUGGGAAUGCAGCUCAAAAUGGGUGGUAAAUUUCAUCUAAGGCUAAAUAUUGGCGAGAGACCGAUAGCGAACAAGUACCGUGAGGGAAAGAUGAAAAGAACUUUGAAAAGAGAGUUAAACAGUGCGUGAAAUUGUUGAAAGGGAAACGUUUGACACCAG
rnacentral:rRNA from 1 species